ACGCUCGACACCUACGGAGGCAGCAGUUGGGAAUAUUGGACAAUGGAGGAAACUCUGAUCCAGUGACGCCGCGUGAAGGAAGAAGGUCUUCGGAUUGUAAACUUAUUUUGUCAGGGAAGAAAAAAUGACUGUACCUGAAGAAAAAGCACCGGCUAACUACGUGCCAGCACGCCGGACGGUAAUCUGAGGCGGGCUGGACGAAGGC
rnacentral:rRNA from 1 species